ACCAUCCUGAAGAUUGAAGCUUGCUUCAUGAUUCAGAUUUUGGUGAGUGGCGGACGGGUGAGUAACACGUGGGUAACCUGCCCAAAAGUGGGGGAUAACAUUUGGAAACAAGUGCUAAUACCGCAUAACAACUACUUUCACAUGAUCGUAGCUUGAAAGAUGGCUCUGCUAUCGCUUUUGGAUGGACCCGCGGCGUAUUAGCUAGUUGGUGAGGUAAUAGCUCACCAAGGCAAUGAUACGUAGCCGACCUGAGAGGGUAAUCGGCCACAUUGGGACUGAGACACGGCCCAAACUCCUACGGGAGGCAGCAGUAGGGAAUCUUCCACAAUGGGCGAAAGCCUGAUGGAGCAAUGCCGCGUGAGUGAAGAAGGUUUUCGGAUCGUAAAACUCUGUUGUUGAAGAAGAACAUGCGUGAGAGUAACUGUUCGCGUACUGACGGUAUUCAACCAGAAAGCCACGGCUAACUACGUGCCAGCAGCCGCGGUAAUACGUAGGUGGCAAGCGUUGUCCGGAUUUAUUGGGCGUAAAGAGAAUGUAGGCGGUUUAUUAAGUUUGAAGUGAAAGCCCUCGGCUCAACCGAGGAAGUGCUUCGAAAACUGGUAAACUUGAGUGCAGAAGAGGAAAGUGGAACUCCAUGUGUAGCGGUGGAAUGCGUAGAUAUAUGGAAGAACACCACUGGCGAAGGCGGCUUUCUG
rnacentral:rRNA from 2 species